UACAGAGGUCCCAAGCGUUGUUCGGAUUCACUGGGCGUAAAGGGUGCGUAGGCGGUCGGGUAAGUCUGAUGUGAAAUCUCACAGCUUAACUGUGAAACUGCAUUGGAUACUAUCCGGCUCGAGGAAUGGAGGGGAGACUGGAAUACUUGGUGUAGCAGUGAAAUGCGUAGAUAUCAGGAGGAACACCAAUGGCGAAGGCAGAUCUCUGGGCCGUAACUGACGCUGAGGAGCGAAAGCAUGGGGAGCGAACAGG
rnacentral:rRNA from 1 species